rnacentral:rRNA from 1 species
CGUAGGUGGCAAGCGUUGUCCGGAAUUAUUGGGCGUAAAGCGCGCGCAGGCGGUCCUUUAAGUCUGAUGUGAAAGCCCACGGCUCAACCGUGGAGGGUCAUUGGAAACUGGGGGACUUGAGUACAGAAGAGAAGAGUGGAAUUCCACGUGUAGCGGUGAAAUGCGUAGAGAUGUGGAGGAACACCAGUGGCGAGGGCGACUCUUUGGUCUGUAACUGACGCUGAGGCGCGAAAGCGUGGGGAGCAAACAGGAUUAGAUACCCUGGUAGUCCACGCUGUAAACGAUGAGUGCUAAGUGUUAGAGGGUUUCCGCCCUUUAGUGCUGCAGCUAACGCAUUAAGCACUCCGCCUGGGGAGUACGGCCGCAAGGCUG